GCUUAAGUAGUUUAAAAAGAACAUGACGUUGAAGCUGUCAAGGAGGGCUAUGGUCUCUUAAGCA
rnacentral:tRNA from 1 species